rnacentral:tRNA from 1 species
GGCGGGAUAGUUUAGUGGUAAGAACAAUGGAAUCAUAAUCCAUAUGCCGUGGGUUCAAAUCCCACUCCCGUCC